rnacentral:rRNA from 1 species
AUUGAACGCUGGCGGCAGGCUUAACACAUGCAAGUCGAGCGGGGUGAUGGUGCUUGCACUAUCACUUAGCGGCGGACGGGUGAGUAAUGCUUAGGAAUCUGCCUAUUAGUGGGGGACAACAUCUCGAAAGGGAUGCUAAUACCGCAUACGUCCUACGGGAGAAAGCAGGGGAUCACUUGUGACCUUGCGCUAAUAGAUGAGCCUAAGUCGGAUUAGCUAGUUGGUGGGGUAAAGGCCUACCAAGGCGACGAUCUGUAGCGGGUCUGAGAGGAUGAUCCGCCACACUGGGACGGAGACACGGCCCAGACUCCGACGGGAGGCAGCAGUGGGGAAUAUUGGACAAUGGGGGGAACCCUGAUCCAGCCAUGCCGCGUGUGUGAAGAAGGCCUUAUGGUUGUAAAGCACUUUAAGCGAGGAGGAGGCUCUUUUGGUUAAUACCCAAGAUGAGUGGACGUUACUCGCAGAAUAAGCACCGGCUAACUCUGUGCCAGCCGCCGCAGUAA